GACGAACGCUGGCGGCGUGCUUAACACAUGCAAGUCGAACGGAAAGGCCCUGCUUGCAGGGUACUCGAGUGGCGAACGGGUGAGUAACACGUGGGUGAUCUGCCCUGCACUUCGGGAUAAGCCUGGGAAACUGGGUCUAAUACCGGAUAGGAGCCAUUUUUAGUGUGAUGGUUGGAAAGUUUUUUCGGUGUAGGAUGAGCUCGCGGCCUAUCAGUUUGUUGGUGGGGUAAUGGCCUACCAAGGUGGGGACGGGUAGCCGGCCCGAGAGGGUGGACGGGCAAAUUGGGGUUGGGUUACGGCCCCGGAGCCUACCGGGGGCAAUGAUUCGGAAGCUUGCUGCAAUGGCGAAAGCCUGAUGCAGCGACGCCGCGUGGGUGAUGACGGCCUUCGGGUUGUAACCUCCUUUCGCAAGGGACGAAGCUUUUUGUGACGGUACCUAGAUAAGAAGCACCGGCUAACUACGUG
rnacentral:rRNA from 1 species